GAUGAACGCUGGCGGCGUGCCUAAUACAUGCAAGUCGAGCGAACAGAUGAGGAGCUUGCUCCUCUGACGUUAGCGGCGGACGGGUGAGUAACACGUGGAUAACCUACCUAUAAGACUGGGAUAACUUCGGGAAACCGGAGCUAAUACCGGAUAAUAUAUUGAACCGCAUGGUUCAAUAGUGAAAGACGGUUUUGCUAUCACUUAUAGAUGGAUCCGCGCCGCAUUAGCUAGUUGGUAAGGUAACGGCUUACCAAGGCAACGAUGCGUAGCCGACCUGAGAGGGUGAUUGGCCACACUGGAACUGAGACACGGUCCAGACUCCGACGGGAGGCAGCAGUAGGGACUCUUCCGCAAUGGGCGAAAGCCUGACGGAGCAACGCCGCGUGAGUGAUGAUGGUCUUCGGAUCGUAAAACUCUGUUAUUAGGGAAGAACAAAUGUGUAAGUAACUAUGAACGUCUUGACGGUACCUAAUCAGAAAGCCACGGCUAACUACGUG
rnacentral:rRNA from 1 species